rnacentral:rRNA from 1 species
GACGAACGCUGGCGGCGUGCUUAACACAUGCAAGUCGAACGGAAAGGCCCUGCUUUUGUGGGGUGCUCGAGUGGCGAACGGGUGAGUAACACGUGAGUAACCUGCCCUUGACUUUGGGAUAACUUCAGGAAACUGGGGCUAAUACCGGAUAGGAGCUCCUGCUGCAUGGUGGGGGUUGGAAAGUUUCGGCGGUUGGGGAUGGACUCGCGGCUUAUCAGCUUGUUGGUGGGGUAGUGGCUUACCAAGGCUUUGCCGGGUAGCCGGCCUGAGAGGGUGACCGGCCACACUGGGACUGAGAUACGGCCCAGACUCCUACGGGAGGCAGCAGUGGGGAAUAUUGCACAAUGGGCGGAAGCCUGAUGCAGCAACGCCGCGUGCGGGAUGACGGCCUUCGGGUUGUAAACCGCUUUCGCCUGUGACGAAGCGUGAGUGACGGUAAUGGGUAAAGAAGCACCGGCUAACUACGUG